UGGUUUGUUUGCCAACGCUCGACCGACCCAUUUUUAACCCCCCGACUGGUAAGUUUUUAUUGACAUACUUUUGGCCACGUUUUUUUUCCCCUCGACUUUUCCUACUUUCGUUUUCUUUCAAGUUCAUAUCUGCAUUUUGUUUAGUUUUCAGUAUUAUUUUUUUUUUCUUUGCGGCGCUUUGUAAAUCACCGUAAUUUUAAGCGCUCAAGUGAUCGAUUUCGCUACAUGGCAUGCUGGUUUCGACGAUGGACACAAACAACAACAGUGUCCGAGCCUCAUGCCUAAAACUCGACAGACAUAAUAUGCCAGAAAAGACAUCAAGUACCCAACAAGCAGGCAUAAAUGCCUUUGAUUUAUUGAUGUCAGACGCAAAACCAGAGAUUAACAAGCUACCAAAAAGGAUCUAGAAUCAUUAGUCUCUCUAGUGUGAGAGAAACAGCAAAAGACAAACUAUACAACCACUUAAUUGAUGACCUCAGUAGUUCAAACUGUUUUUCCCAAGUACCAUGUUGGAUAUCCAAGUCUCGAAACACAUGAAAACAUUAUGCAAUGCAGUUUGGCACAUUAGUGGAAAUAUGGAAAAAAUAAACAGUAGGUCCAAGCAUGAUGCUGACUAUAAAUUAGUGCCAAACAGAUUCAUGAAGUAUGAUGGUUUCAAUAAUUGGAGAGAGAGAAAACCAAGGGUGAAUUCCAAAGAGCUCAGAUUACAUUGUGACUGUCUAGUAAAGUUGUUUAGUGCUCCAUUUACCCAGACCUGGCCCCGCCGUCACCAAAAUUUCCUUUUCCUCAACCCUCAACUCAAAUCCUUGAGGUUUCCUUAACUGAGAUUUUCCUCAAUUCGCCGUCACCAAACAAUCUGAGGAGUACCUCAGUUGAGGCUGAAAAUUCACACUCAACUCAGUUGAGAAAGUACACGAUUAAUUUCGGGUGAUUUCGCGGAAUAUUUUAUGUAAUGAUUUUACGUAAUAAAAUUUCUCUCGUCUGCA